CCUACGGGUGGCUGCAGUGAGGAAUAUUGGUCAAUGGCCGGGAGGCUGAACCAGCCAAGUCGCGUGAGGGAAGACGGCCCUACGGGUUGUAAACCUCUUUUGUCAGGGAGCAAGGUUCAGGUCGUGACCUGCUGUGAGAGUACCUGACGAACAAGCAUCGGCUAACUCCGUGCCAGCAGCCGCGGUAAUACGGAGGAUGCGAUCGUUGUCCGGAUUUAUUGGGUUAAGAGGGUGCGCAGGCGGAGGCACAAGUCAGCGGUAAAAUCGCGGGGCGCAACCCCGCUCCGCCGUUGAAACUGUGUCACUGGAGUGUGCGAAGGGUAGGCGGAAUGCGUGGUGUAGCGGUGAAAUGCAUAGAUAUCACGCAGAACUCCGAUCGCGAAGGCAGCCUACCGGCGCGCAACUGACGCUCAUGCACGAAAGCGUGGGUAUCGAACAGGAUUAGAUACCCCAGUAGUC
rnacentral:rRNA from 1 species